CCUACGGGGGGCAGCAGGGGGGAAUAUUGGACAAUGGGCGAAACCUGAUCCAGCCAUGCCGCGUGUGUGAAGAGGUCUUCGGAUUGUAAGCACUUUAAGUUGGGAGGCGCUACCGACAGAAUAAGCACCGGCUAACUCUGUGCCAGCAGCCGCGGUAAUACAGAGGGUGCAAGCGUUAAUCGGAAUUACUGGGCGUAAAGCGCGCGUAGGUGGUUUGUUAAGUUGAAUGUGAAAUCCCCGGGCUCAACCUGGGAACUGCAUCCAAAACUGGCAAGCUAGAGUAGGGUAGAGGGUGGUGGAAUUUCCUGUGUAGCGGUGAAAUGCGUAGAUAUAGGAAGGAACACCAGUGGCGAAGGCGACCACCUGGACCAACUGACACUGAGGUGCGAAAGCGUGGGGAGCAAACAGGAUUAGAUACCCUUGUAGUC
rnacentral:rRNA from 1 species